GAAUCUCAUUUUCCUCGUUACUGAGAGCCAGCAUGUUUAAGCCCGCCUUCUUAACUGUUAACUCUGAUUCUUGCAACGACCUUCUGUUCCUUCAACUGAGUAGGAGUAGGAGCGUUUACUGAUUCGUUUUGUUGCACUUGGGGCCUCAAAAACCAAAUAAUAGCCGACCUGGAUUUGAAAAAAAAAAAAAACUCAAUGUUUUCUGCGCCUCCAAGAGUAGAAUAUAGAACAAUUCAAUAGUCCAGUUCGGGAUGAUUGAGUCAGAGGUGGUGAGCGGAAUUGUCCAAUUUUAGGUGGAGAGAGUAGGGCGCCUCCAGGUUGGUAACACUGCGAGGUAGAACUAGCACUUCGAUUCUGGAACUGGAAGUAUAGCAUCACGAGGAACAAUCUUUUUUUCUUCCUUGCUAAAUUAGUAGAGAUGCUUGCAAUCCAGGGACCGGUUCUAAAAACAGCAGCAAGAAUGCAACCGACACCAGCACCUUUGGUACCAAGACGUCCGGCUCGUCGUCGUCGGUGCCACCAACUCCCCGUACGGAGACAGAGAUCCUG
rnacentral:lncRNA from 1 species